GGCGGAUGCCUAGGCUUCUAGAGGCGAUGAAGGACGUGACAAGCUGCGAUAAGCUUCGGGGAGGUGCACAUAACCUUUGAUCCGAAGAUUUCCGAAUGGGGCAACCCAAUACCAUGAAGUGGUAUUACCCGCAAGGGGGCAAACCCGGAGAACUGAAACAUCUAAGUACCCGGAGGAAAGGAAAUCAAUUGAUACUCCCCUAGUAGCGGCGAGCGAACGGGGACCAGCCGAGCCAUGAGUGUGGUUAGAAUGCGAUGGAAUGCGCAACCAGAGUGGGUGAUAGUCCCGUAUAAGAAGCAUGAUUGGACGUAUUAAGUAGGGCGGAACACGUGAAAUUCUGUCUGAAGAUCGGAGGACCACCUUCGAAGGCUAAGUACUCCUUACUGACCGAUAGUGAACAAGUACCGUGAGGGAAAGGUGAAAA
rnacentral:rRNA from 14 species